AUGUAAACAAACCCACGUGCAUUCCUUGGACCAUCAGCUGACUGGCGGCCUCCACUUGCCUCCACUCCUGUCAAAGCUCCACAUGACCACCUAGCGCAGGCCCGGUGGAGUAUUUGCUCUGUGUUUUACGUUUUCAGUGGCUCAUCUUCACCCAGAGACCCUGAACGAGGACAUCAGUUGAGAGGAUUUAUAGACACCGGCUGUGCAGGUUGUCAUGGUCACAGGGUAUCUGAGGCUUCAACAGCAGCAGCACCACACCAAUGCCAUACCGUUUGAAGGUGACGGAGGAGGAGGUGAGGCAGGAGCUGACCAAGAUGGGCUUCACAGGACUCUCAGAUGACACCGUGGCUGCCAUGCGCAAAGACCUCCUGAAGUUGAUCAAGAGUGAUCUUCGCAAACUAAGGCAGGAGAGACGAGAUGAAACGUACACAGACAGCAGCAAUAAUCUCUCCCCUGCAGUGCCUGAUCUAACCCAACCUGCUCCCUCCAAGCACCUGGCUACAUCAAGAAAAAGACACACCAAAGAAACGUGCUACAGUUCCUUAAGUGCGUCACACUCUUCAGAGGAAAAUGACGAGAGUACAAGAGAGAGCGGCUACUCUGAAUAUGAGGAGAGUACGUCAUGCCUCUCAGAGCCAGCCAGCAUUUCACUUGGUGAUGUAAUUCCUCAGAAGCAAAUCAGUGCUGAAAUUCAGACAGAGAGAGUGAAGGAAGAACUGAAAACGAAAUCUUUGAGGGAAAAAAGCAAAGAAGUUGAUUCAAGUACCCUCAGAGAACCGAAGAUGAUAAGCAAGAAAAAGACUAAGCCAGUAGAAAAAAAAGGUUUGCCAGACUAUCCCUCGCGCCCAGACCCAGUCAGACUCUACCACUACUACAAAGCUCACUGGGACCAGUACAAGGUGCCGGGGGAAGAUCCUCGCCUGAAGCUUCGCUGGGCCAUCAGAAGUAAACUGUUUUAUGCUGAGUAGAGCUGAUGGACUUCACAGUCCUCCGUCAGGGAAGUUUUUAAGUCUCAAGAUUUUUUUAUUUUUGUAAAUGUCCUACUGAGAAUUCAUUACCUGAAGAUGCAUUCAAAUGACAUAGGAACACUAACCUCCCCAGACUGUAUACUCUUUAAAGAUGUUGUUCUCUAUAACAUUGAUGUUUAUAAAAGAAUUGCACCACUGAAUCUCAGGUUUGGCAAGAUGAAUAGUUAGUACUUGCAACAUGAUAUGCAUCCUAUGCGUGUUGUAGAUGUAAAGGUCCUUUUAAUUUCAUACAAACCAUUAAACAAAUACUGCCUCUAAGAGUGCCUUAAGAAGUCUUAGAUAUUUCUGCUAAUUGUUAUAAGAUCCUAUUUAGGGUGAUUUAAAUGUUUACCAAGUGCCUUGACCUGAUUGAAACAUAAAAUGUCUGCAAGCGGUUGUCAAGCCUAAACAGGGCAGCUCCUGUACUUUGUGAUGAUUCAGUCUUGUCAGAGCUUUUAUAUUUUAGUAUUCAAAUUCAGAUAUUCAGAAACAGAAACAUAAGCAAAGAGCUGGAAGUCUGAGCAUUAAAAGUGUUUGAUAGGAUUGAUAGUUUGUCCUGAGCUCUAUUUAACUCUUCAAUAAAAGGGAACUCCCAUUUGCUCACAUAAUUUAUUUUACAUUCGUUUCCAGUCUUUACUUGUUUCUAAAGAGGCGAUGAAUUUAUGAAAACAACAAAACUUAUAUUUGUAUCCUUUUAUUAAGAAUAGUUACAAUAAUAAUUAUACAAUGAAAAAUAUAUCUAUAUUACAAAACGUCCUCAAUCUGUACAGAUUUGUCAAAAGUUAAAUAUAACAAGCCAGGUUUACACCAGACCAGGCCAGGGCUGUGUGGUUGUCAUGUACUGGAAGGUGGAGUUGCUUCAGCACUCGUCCUCUGCAACCCAACUAUUGCAUGUCCAUAGCUAGUCUUGACUCUGACAUGGCCUUCUGAUAAGUACUCUUCCUAAAUAUAAUGUAAGUAACAAUUAAAUGGGGCAGUACUGAGGAGCCUCUGAAGUACAAAGCUGACUCCGAGGCAACUGUUCUUGUAGCUUCAUCGCCACAAAAGAAUUAAUGGAAUGCCACAACUAUAACGGUGGACAGUCUUUUUAGGAUUAAGUUGGGAUUGAGCUUCUCUGCCAAUGUUAGGGAAGGUAAUGUUGUACCACUUCCAGAUAAUGAAACGAAAUCAUCCACUUUCCCUAUCCUCAUAAUGUACUUGCAAAUUUAUAAUAAAAUUUGUGCAUGUAAAAUUAUCAUAUUGAUUUCACAAUAAAGAUACCAAGUCCUCA